UGCCUCUGUGGUGUAUAGUGGAGUGUUUCCCAUGUGGUAUUGGUGUGCUGGAUAUCCCUUCACUGGUAGCCUGGUAACAUACACUUCCAGGUCUUUCUCUGCCUCUGUGGUGGAUAGUGGAGUGUUUCCCAUGUGGUAUUGGUGUGCUGGAUAUCCCUUCACUGGUAGCCUGGUAACAUACACUCCCAGGUCUUUCUCUGCCUCUGUGGUGGAUAGUGGAGUGUUUCCCAUGUGGUAUUGGUGUGCUGGAUAUCCCUUCACUGGUAGCCUGGUAACAUACACUCCCAGGUCUUUCUCUGCCUCUGUGGUGGAUAGUGGAGUGUUUCCCAUGUGGUAUUGGUGUGCUGGAUAUCCCUUCACUGGGAGCCUGUUAACAUACACUCCCAGGUCUUUCUCUGCCUCUGUGGUGGAUAGUGGAGUGUUUCCCAUGUGGUA